AACUUUGAUGCAUAUCUUCUGUGGAUUUCCAUUUGAUUCUUUCAAAGAAUUUAAUGCUUUUUUUAUUUCUUUUUCUUCAAUCUUGUAUAGUUUUUGUUCUAAUACAGUUUCUUUGUUUUCUACCUUUUUUUUUUUUUUUUAAUAAAUGCUUUUUAGAUUCUUUUAUUGGUAAUCAUUGUAAGCUGCACUGCCACAUUUGCCUUGUGCCUGACUAAAGCUAUCAGGUUAAACCUUCAAUGUGAUACACUCCCAUAAACAACCAUUAUAAACAAAAUGAGAAUAAUUCUGGGGUAUGUUCCACAGACUUGUUGCAUUGAUAGACAUUCAAUUUGUUGCUUGUAAGUGUCAUUUGUAGAUAGCAUGGGCAUCUGUUGGAAGAUUAUUAAUUCUUUUUAAUAUUAAAAAUCAAUUGGUAUUUUGUACUGCUGUCAAGCUGAAUGCUAACCAGAUGGUUGUUGGAACACUUCGUUGGUUUGAUCAGUUUAUGAAUCUUGUGGUUGACAACACAGUGGAGGUGAAUGGCAAUGAGAAAACUGAUAUAGGGAUGGUAGUGAGUCUUUGUCUUUUCCUGUUGUUAGCAGAUAAUCAACUUCUAAUAGAGUAAUGACACUGCAACAGUCUUUUCUAAUUAAUUUCUGUAUAUAAACUGUGAGUUAAAUCAUAUGUCACCUAAGCCAUUCUGUGAAUUUAAAAAAAAAAGCCUUUUAUUCAAUUUUGAGUCAUGAUACUUAUUAUCAAUGGAAAUGGUUUGAGUUAAUGAUUUUCCUUUCUUGUUUCCGCACUGCUUUUUUGUCUGCCAAGUGUGACAGAUGAUUGGUUGUUGGAGAUGGCCAAAUUCACACCAAAACUUAAAGUUCUUAAAUAUUUGGGUGAGAAAGAACACCGGUGCAGUUUACACAAAAUAUGUACAAGCAAGUAAAAGAGAAGUCCUCAUCAUUUGAUGUUGUGGCAAAAGUAUGGACUAUUGGAAGCAGGAUCUUCUGGUGCAUUCUAAGCACACCUUUUAAUUUUUCAAACAUAGGGUAGGAGAUGGGUCAGUUAUUUAAACACUCACCAGUCAAGCUGUUGAUAUUGAAGUAGCUAUAGACAUUAGAGAAGUUUACUUGAUUUAGAGAUUCCAAUUAUUUGUCAGUAGAAUUUUAAUUUGCUAAAUUAUUUUGUUUAAGUGGCCCACUCCUUUAUUGUUGAACUCUUGGCAGUCCUAUGUUUUGAAUUAUCCUCCUUUUAAACCUAUGAUUGAAAUGAGUGUUAGGAUGAUAGCAGAACAAUAUUUUAGAAUGUAAGUUUUUAAUUCCUAAAGCUCUCUUCGUUGUUGGCCUAAAUUUCUUCACUUUGUAUUAAUUCCUUUUUUAGCAUAUCCCUUUCUACUUACAAGUUGGUACACCUACGAGGAACUAUGAAAUAGGAUGCUUCAAGUUGACCGUUAGUUAACUAUAGGAAUGAUUUGUUUCCCCUUUUCUUGCUUUUAGUUUAUUGGUAGUCUACUCUUGUUUGGUUAUAUUGGUUGAAAUUUAUACAUGUUUUAUUUCCAGGAAUUUCUUUCAUCCUCAUAGAAUGGUUAACGUUGAUUUCUUUAUUAAAGUUUGAGAUUCUUAUACAUAUAUGAUUUACUUAACUUUGCUAUUCGGAUUUGUCUUCCAUUGGUGAUGAUGUAAACUAUGGUGUUUGGCUUUUGUUCUGAGGGUUUCUCUAGAAAACUACCUUAGUAGUGAUGUAAGAUGAUUUCCAUUGUUGCACUUUUGUGAGUGGCACUCAUACAGUGUAGGAAUCACGUAUCAAGAUUUAUUGUGUUGAUAGGUGUGCUUCUUGCGAGCUGACUGAUUUUAUGUCAUGUCUCUUUUCACAUUCUCACUUUAUGCACCUUGUUUGUCUCCUUUUUGGAUAUCAAAUGCCUUGAUUUUUUAAUCUUUAUAUCUUCUUUCUAUGUUGAGGUAAUACAACCAUUCUUACCCCUUUCUUGGUAUUGAGCCUGAACCAUUUAAAGAAGGUGAACACCUGGUCAGGUAUCCUUUUCAUCUCAGUUUCAUAGAAAAAGGAUGUGGAUAUCUGGAGUCUACCUAUUCCUUUUGCUUGUAAAAGGAAAAAAUUUUGCUGCUUUUGUUUGCCUGCAAUUUAUAUAUUCCUUACUGCCUUCUUACAUUGUUUCCUUCUAAACAAAAUGUUGUUUCAAUUGACUUCCUGAUCAGGCUAAUGGUAAAGUUGUAAUUUUGGACCAACUACUUAAGAAGUUGAAUGUUUCUAGGCCUCGUGUUCUUCUCUUCACUCAGAGGACCCAUACUUGAUAUCUUAAAGGUUUGUUUCCAAAUCUUAAUGAUGUUAAAAUUUAUAUCUUCAGAUUGAUUGCUGAAGUUGAUUUUGACAACUAUGGUUACUACUUUUCUGAUACAACACGCGAAGUGUGGGUGUACAAGAGGCGUGGGAAGAAGCACCAGGGGAUUAAUAGUGUUAAAAGAAGCAACUAAAGUGUGAAUUGAAGGUAGUGGGACAGGUGGCGAAGGAUUACGGGAGGAGGGAUAAAUUCUGUUAGGAGAAGAAAUGAAUAAAGAGAGCAGCAGAGGAGUAAAUAGGCAUCGAGAGAGAAGUUAGGAAAAGGGGAGGUAGCUGGCCCUCAAAGUCCAGCAUAUCUGUUUCUAUUAUGUUCUAGUAUUCGUUUCUCUUAUUUUCAUUGUGGUUAAUUAAAUCCAGUAGUUCUUAUAUUUGAGAUACUAUC